UCAGGAGAAAUUCAAUCUACUUGUGGGUGCCCAGUGGCUACAAACAGCAACUGCUUUAGUUGUGUACACAGAUUGUUGCUUGUAUGGGCUGCCCUAAGGGACCUUGAAAAAGUU
ensembl:snoRNA SNORA70 Small nucleolar RNA SNORA70